rnacentral:tRNA from 1 species
GAGCGAUGGCAGAGUGGUCGAACGCGGCGGUCUUGAAAACCGUUGUACUCUUACGGGUACCGGGGGUUCAAAUCCCUCUCGCUCC